GCAUCGUUUGGAGAGUCCAGUGUGUGGUGGUCGUGAAGGAGCCCAGCAGCUUUGUUGUCGUUGCCUCUGUUCUUCAGGUUAUAACAGCUUGGGAGGCAAGGACUGGAAAAUGACAAAAUGAGUUUUAACUCCCUACCUCUUUGAAUACUAUUUAACCAAAAAGUGAAUUGCAGCAAAGCAAAAUGCUUUCCUGUUUUCAAAUUUGCAGGCCUCCUACCAUCCAGGGAAGUCAAUUUCAUCAGCACGAUGGGAAAACACCAAGUCCUUUUCAAAUGGAAUCAUCCUCUCUGAAACCAAAGUUCCACAGAAGCAAAUUACCAGCUGGCGCCGGUGCGGGAUUCAAGAUGAGGAUCCUACUUUGUGUUUCGGCCACCCCCUCAUCAUUUCUAAGCCACCGACCCACAGAAGCCACCUGAUCUGCUUCUCAUCCGAGUCUCUUCGAGGGUGGGAGGGUAAUGGCCAGGAACACAGAGAGCACACAGCCCCUGCACAUCUGUAAAAGGAGCAUCCAGCCUGGGCCUGGAAUAAACUGUUCUUUGCGGAAA